AUUGUUAUGAUAUAAAGCAAAAGAAAGUGCAAGUUAUUCUUCCUUCAAUUUUCAGUCCGGAUUUGUUAGCGAGCCAUCUCUCAUCUCUCUACUUCCCUACUUUCAUUCCAUGUAAGUUUUUUACUAUGAAAAAUCCAAGGGCUUAUUUGAAAGUGCUUUUGAAAUAACCGAAAGCACUUUGAUGAGAGUGUUUAACCAAUUCUUAUAUGCCAAUUGCCCAAACUGUCUUUAAACAUUCUUUAAGCACUCCUUCAUCACUUUCUACUACAGCAGAGCAGGUGUUUCUCCAUCUUCAAGAACAACAAGUCUCCAUCUUUAAGAACAACAAGUACCGUGUGAAUUUUCCUUUAAAGUUGGACGGUUGACAUUGGUUACUUCACUUCACUCUUUCAAUCUUGAUAUCUUCUUUCUCUUGAAGAAGCUGUUAAUAUACACUCUCCUAAAGAAAUUAUUCCUUCAAUUUCAGUCCGGAUUUGUUAGCGAGCCAUCUCUCCUCCCUCUACUUCCAUACUUCCAUUCAUCGGAGCAUGCUUUUCUCCAUCUUCAAGAACAAUAAGUCUCGUGUGAAUUUUCCUUUAAAGGUAUUGUCUUUUUACUCCUUAUCCAAAUCUACGUGUCCUUAAUAUGAAUUUGUAUCUGUAUUUUGUCCUUUUUUUUAUUUGCCUUUUCUCUGUUUACUCUUUGCGCUGGAUUCUUUGGUCCUAAAUCCAUUGGGAAUUUGAUAGUUGAUACGAUCUACACAUUUAUGGGGGAAUUGAUACAACCUUUCAUAAA